AUUGAACGCUGGCGGCAGGCCUAACACAUGCAAGUCGAGCGGAUGAAGGGAGCUUGCUCCUGGAUUCAGCGGCGGACGGGUGAGUAAUGCCUAGGAAUCUGCCUGGUAGUGGGGGAUAACGUCCGGAAACGGGCGCUAAUACCGCGUACGUCCUGAGGGAGAAAGUGGGGGAUCUUCGGACCUCACGCUAUCAGAUGAGCCUAGGUCGGAUUAGCUAGUUGGUGGGGUAAAGGCCUACCAAGGCGACGAUCCGUAACUGGUCUGAGAGGAUGAUCAGUCACACUGGAACUGAGACACGGUCCAGACUCCUACGGGAGGCAGCAGUGGGGAAUAUUGGACAAUGGGCGAAAGCCUGAUCCAGCCAUGCCGCGUGUGUGAAGAAGGUCUUCGGAUUGUAAAGCACUUUAAGUUGGGAGGAAGGGCAGUAAGUUAAGACCUUGCUGUUUUGACGUUACCAACAGAAUAAGCACCGGCGAACUUCGU
rnacentral:rRNA from 1 species